UUUCCCCUUUUGGUGGGCGGGAGGUAUCUUUUUCGCUUUAAUCUAGCUCUGGUGUCCUGGAUGAAGGAGACCGGGGCGGGAUUCGAACCCCUUGAUUCUUCUGAGUUCUCUUCGGAGAGGAAACAAUCGAUUCCGAACCUCGAGCGAGGCACCGGUGCGUGGAAGACUCUUUUGCAAAGGGUUUGAAUAUUGGACAGUUUAGCUGAGGAAUCUGCUCCUGCAAAUACCAGAAUUGAGAAGUUUUGUUUGGCAUAUUAAUCAAGGCUUAUUAACAGUUCUCCAGACAUGUUUUGGACAACUGGAGACAUUAGGCUUGAACCCAUCUAAGGAAUGGUGAAAUCAGG